GGCUGCUUGUUCCUGCUCGUCACGCCGAUUCCCCUCGGACCUGUCUGCUUUCUGAGGCGCUUCCUCCAUCUUCUGGCUCUUUUUUUUUUUCAAAUUUUUCUGAGACAAGGCCUCCCUGUCCUUCCGGAUAGACAGGAACUGAACUCAAGAUCCUCCAGCCUCAGCCUCCUGAGUGCUGGGAUUACAAGUGUGCGUCGCCAUACCCAGCCACACCCAGCCCGAAAGACUGCUAUUAACAAAAGGAAGGGGCAGUGGUUUCCAGUACCUGACCGGCAAGGCAAUAUGCAGAAACACAAAGAAUUUUCCCCAAUGCAACCAGGGACCAGUGACCCACUUUUUUUUUUUUUUUUUUUUUUUUUUUGGUACCAGGGAUCAAAUUCAUGACUGCGCGCUUGCAAAGCAGGCUCGUAUGCCGCUGAGCUAAAUGCCCCGCUCAAUGACCCACUUUUUAAACGUGGAAAAGAUCUGACCUGAAGCUUCACAAAAAGGGCAGGUGAGUAGUGAAGAGUACAAGCCGAGCUGCUCAGCUGCAUCAUGACCCAGGCCUAGCAAAUCAAAGCCAACGCGAUGCCAGGGUUCAAGGGGAGGCUGCUGCAGAGCAACAUGAGAAAGUACACUGGGGCGGGAACCGCAGACCCAGCCAGAAAGGAAAUCAGAGCCACUGCUGCAGCAGGCAUUGCUGUCCACUGCCAGGCCACCCAGGGAAGCCUCAGGGCUGCUGGUCCUCACUGUGACUCCCACGCCCUGUUCAUAGCAGCUUGGCUCCUGAUAACCAGCACCUGGGAAUCACCAAAUUACCCUUGGAAAAAUCGAUGUGGUGGUACAUGCCUGUAGUCCCAGCACUUGAGAGGCUGAGGCAGGAGGAUCCUGCAAAUUCAAGACCAGCGUGGGCUCCACAGUGCUUUGCAGACCAGCCUGAACUAUACAGAUAAACACCUUGUGGCUCAACAGUAGGGGGACACUGAGGUACAGGAGCAGGGCCAGCUUGGCUGCGGAUAGCUGCCUGAAGCAGACAAUGAAGUGUCCUGAGGGGCCUAAGAGCCACAGAAGAGGUCGGGUAUAGCCCAGCCAGAGAGCUUUGCCUAGCGUGUAUUGGACCUUGUGCCGUUAAAGCUUUUUUUAAAAAAAUUUUUAUAAAAUGCAUUUAAAAAAUAAGAUGGAUACUGUACUCACAGGUUGUUAGGGCCGAGCCACAAGGACCACAAACUGGAGGCCAGGCCGAGACAAUUUAACAAGACCCCAUGUCAAAGUGAAAAGGGUUGGUGAAGCCGUGAGGGUACACACCUGUAAUCCUAGGAGGCCGAGACAGGGAGGUUGCCAUGAUUUUGAGGCCCGUUGGGUUCCAUAGUGAUUUCAAGGCCAAUCUGGACUACCAAUGCAGUGCUGUCUCAACAAAGCAAAAAGGCAAGCAGUGCGGGUUCCAGGAAGAGAAAAAUCAGCACUAUAGGAGAAUUGGCCAUGCUGGGACUGGGAGGAUCCAACAAGAAGCCAACCAGCCAGCCUUUCUGGUAAGCUGUGCAAGCCACACAGGCUCUAGGAAGAGAAAAGUUGGUGCCUCCUGUGAACCUACCUGCACAGACUAAGAAUCCAAUCACCCCAUCCUCCCACCACAGUAUGCAGGUGACUGAAGGCUAACCAUGGAGGUCCAUCAGCGUGUGAUCUGAGGAGAAGACCAGGGCAGGUAGGAAAAGAUCUGCGCUACAGACACACGUGUGUGUCCUCUCAGGUGGGACAAGCAAGCGCCGUUCAGCUUGCAGCAGUGAGAGCCUGGCAGGACUGGGGCCGAUGGCCUGAUUCAGACCAGCUCUGACCACGUGCCCCGAGAUACACUGGCUGGUGAACACACUACAUGUGGAUGGCCUGGCCUGCAAUCCCCAUGGGGAAGCCAUAAGAACCUUGCAUUGCAGUGGGAUUAUGGAGAAAGCUGCUCACUGAUGUGCUCUGGGGCUGUGAUACCCACUACAUCCAGGCAUUCCAGAAGUGCUUGUUAAAUGAGUGAUGGAACCGGAGAGAGGUGCUGAGGGCCCGCCCCCGGGAGCUGCAGUUCAUGGCUUGGCCCGACUGGAGAGGAGGAAGGCUGAGCUGCCUCAGGAUUUGCAAGCUGGGAUUCUGUCUCUGAACAAAACAAAACAAAACUAGUGCUGAUAAGAGACAGGGAAACUGCGGUGCAAGGGCCAGAGCAGGUGGCGCAGGCUGAGAAUCAAACAUCCCCUACCCACCCCCACCCUACUGUUAGCAACUGGGGGCAGAGGUCUGAGCAUCUCUUGGGAGGAUGACCAUAUAUAAUAUAGCAAAUAUGGGGGAUUUCCUACUACUUUGUUUUUUGGGUAUUUUUAGUCUUUUUCAUUUUUAUCAGUACCAGGGAUCGAACUCAUGACUGCCUGCUUCCAAGGCAGGCGCUUAUGCCGCUGAGCUAAAUCCCCAGCCCCCUAUUUUCUGUUUAAAGGCAAAUGUGAUUUUCACUGUUUUGCUUUGUUCUGAUUGUUUUGCUCUAUUCAAUAUUCUCUUUUGAUUGGUUUUAUAAUGUUGUUUUUAGUUUGAUUUUGCUAUACCUGAUGGAAUGGGCAACUAUUGUGAAAACAAGAUAUAUUAUAGUACCUAUUAUUGUUAUCCCGGUGUGAAGCUCUUUACCAAUUUCACUGCAUUGUCUCGAUUGUCUUUGUUCUGUUGUAUUUUACUACCUUCAAAAUAAAGUUUAGGGGCUGGGGGUUUAGUUCAGUGGCGUAAGCGCCUGCCUUGCAAGCAGGCAGUCGUGAGUUCGAUCCCCGGUACCGAUAAAAACAAAAAAGACCAAAAUAAUAAUAAUAAUAAUGUUUUUAAAAAAUUGAAAUAGAAAUAAAUUUAGAACCAAGGAUGUAGCUGCAUCCGCGCCCGCGCCUUGCUCAGUCCUCUCGCGCCAUUGCGCUGCCCCAGAGCCGCCGCCGUCCAAAAGAGUGCGUCCGCAGGUGCUCGAGGCCCCUGGGAUUUCAGCUGAACCAUCUGUUUCAUCGUCAAGCCGUCAUGAGCUGUCAGAAGCCCAGGUCCGGGAAAGCAGACACAGAGAACAAUAUGAAAAUUGUGGAUUUCUUUCCUCAGGUACACCCCAUGGAUUGAUCCGCGGUCUGGAUCAGAGGGCCAGUUUACACGAGGCACUCAAUAGUCUUGAGGCUAUCAUAGAACAGGUAAAGUCUCACCAAGGCAAAACAAUGCUGGCAUGUGGCACAGAAAGGAUUACAGGGUUCCUGAACCUAGGGAUGCCCUUCAGUUGUAUUCCUAAUGAGGCCACUGUGAACAUUACCUUUUCCAAACAUGUAAGUGAGCAGAAGGAAGAUAAUCCAAUACGUGGCCGAAAGGCAGACCAAACACUGACUGUGUCAAAUUUUAUGUUCAUGCAAUUGGGUAGACAAUAAAAAGGACUGUUAAAUGUAAGGAGCUUCACAAAGAAGGAAACAAACUCUGUGUCUUUAGUUUCAAAGGAGAAACCAUCAAGGAGGCUUUGUGCAAGGACCACAGAUUUCUUCCUUUUCUGGAGAAUGGCCAUUGGAAACUCAUCAGCAACAAGAACUCCACUAUAGAAAACACUCAAGUAGUCAAUCAGGUGGAGGGAAAGGUCUUCAAGAUGGAAGCUGAAACUAGAAAUAGCCCUAGGGUGCCGGCACAGAAUUCUGAGUUAGUGAAAAGCAGACCCAUGUAUUGAAAGAAUACGUUGUGGAAGAGUAUUCCUGCUUGAAAAGAAAAAGAGAAAAUAUCAGAAAAACACAUCAAGAAAGAAGUGAAAACAAGUGGAAAAAAACAAACAACAUUACUUAGGUUUCAUAGAACAAACUUUGGGAAACAGACCAAAAAUUCUACUCCUGUUAAAACAAUCAAGCUCCUUUCACAUUUCAAUGACUCAGUUGGAUUCUUACACUGGGACAAUAAUGGCAACAUGGGUACUGCCACCUGCUUCAUGUUCACAGGGCCUACAUUCUCACUUGUCACCACGUGGUAGAUCAGAUUGUGGGAAAAGGAGUAGAGCCCAGCAAGUGGGCAGACAUAAUCGGCCACUGUGCUCGAGUGACAUUCAGUUAGGAAGAGUUUGAAUCAAAAGACCACAACUCCUUUUCCAUCGAAUCUUGGUUUGAGAUAUCUGAUGUAGAUCUCGACUACGCAGUCCUGAAACUCAAGGAAAAUGGACAGCAAGUUCCUGCAGGACUCUACAAUGGGAUCGCCCCUGCACCAGCUAAUGGGUUGGUAUAUAUUAUUGGGCAUCCUGCAGGAGAAACGAAGUCCACUGAUGCAUGUGUCAUGAUUCCUCAGAGAGAGCGAAAAGAGACGUGUGACAGAAGUAUGAGAGAAUUAGUGCCUGAGCCUCAGUUUGCCCACAUGUACACUCAAAACAGUUUCAGGGAAAUUCUUCACAACCCUAAUGUUGUUACCUAUGACACCACUUUUUAUUGGGGUUCUUCUGGCUCACCAGUGUUUGACCCCCAUGGCUCCUUGGUGGCCAUGCAUAAUGCUGGUUUCACUAAGAAGCAUGGUGAAGGCACUUUGCAUAUCAUUGUUUGGCUUUGUUAUGCAAGCCAUCCUCUCUGAUAUUAAGCAGAAGCACCUGGUGUGGUAUGCACAGGAGUGUGUAAAUCAGCAGGAUGUAGAAAUGCUGAGUCAGGAGUACUGAGGUUUGGUGUGCACUUGCCUGUGCAGUUGCCUUCCACAGCAAUGAUGCUGCUUUUCUAACUUCCAUAGUGGUCAGUUGUAGAAACAUUAAAACAGUGGAUAUUGGAGACCAGCAAUUUUUAUAAAGCCAUAAAGAAAUGAGUCCCAUUGUAAAAUGAAGCUUAAGUAUCAAUUGCUUUCUAAGGCCUGGUCCCCUUUUCUGGACCUUCAAAGGACAAACAAAAAUCAUGUAUUUUUCUCAUUAGACAGUCAGAGUGAAGUGUUUGACCCUGCAAGGCAGCGUCUGUGCCUCCUGUCAGCCUGAAGCAGAAGAUAGCCCCAAAUUGCUUCUGCAUCCCUCAGGAGUAAGGGAUCAGAGCCCUGGAAUUGAAAUUCAGGUAGAAGAGAAGCAAAACAGAAGAUAGGAAGGAGACAGGGAGGUUAUAAUUUAUAGAUGGUACUUUUAAGAAGAAUGUGACUAAGAUACAGUUAUCUCAGGUUAUCCACAUCUCCACAUCCUGGCAGGUUGUCAAAAGUAUCACAGAAUAUUUUUAGAUAAUGUUUAAUCUUUAAAAAUACAAAAUAGUUUACUGGACUCUGUAUCCUUCUGUAAAAUAAGCUACUGUCUUCCCUGUUGGGGAGUCAUCACUUUUUUCCUGCAAACAAGGUCUGGUAGAUUCACAAAUUCCACUGCAAAAACAUAAAUAUUAGCUGUUCUGUGCACCUUUUUCUGGCCUCACACUAUUUCUUUGAGUGUGUGCUUUAAAAUUCUCCCUCAUAAUCCCUUUACUUCUUUAAAAAAACAUUAAAGCAAGUCAGCAGGAAGCAAGUCCUCCUUGUGAGUCCGUACCAUGUGCAGGCAGCUGGGGGAGAGAACUAAAUGGCAGUGUUUUCCCAUGAGUCAGUGCUGCUCAUGGACUGCAGAGGAGGAGGAGAAUAAGAAGAAGCCAAAUAAGUAAACCAUCCCUAUGAGUUGGCUCCAUGUCUGAGGUGCUGUGGGAGAACCAGAUGCCAACCCCUUCUGGUGUAGAGGCUGAGAGACAGGAAGAAACAAGGUCUCCUCACCCCCAAAAGUGGCUGAUGUGGAGAAACACAAGCUGUGAUGAUAACUAUUGAGGUAAAUACAGCUUAAUGCUUGUAGUGUUCAGUGUUUCACUGACUUUGUAGUCUGGUGGUCUCACCAUCUAUUCUGAAGAUAACAAUAUGUAAUGUAGUAUCUAUGGGGGAUCUCCCUCUAAGGGUGCUGGCCAUUGUUAAUUCCUUAUUGUCUUGUUUUUAAGUCCUGUAUCAUAUUCGUUAUUUUGUUGGGUUGGGCUUUAUUUCAUUUUUGUUUGUUUGUUUAUUAUAUCCAAUGUUGUGGGAACCUACUUGAAAAAGAUACACUAUGGUAGCCAUAUUGGACUUACUCUUAACUUGUUUUGAAGUUUCUUUAUUGUGUUCAUUGUUUUGUUUUCAUUGGUUCUGUUAUGUUCUGUUUUGUUUGAUUUUUACUAUGUCUGAAGGUAUGGACAGCUAUUUUGAAGACAGCAAAAAACAUUAUGAUUAACAUUGCUGAUUUUUAUUUUCUUGUUUUGAAGUCCUGUGUCACUUAUACUGUUUUCUUUUCUUUUCUUUUCUUUUUUUUUUAUUUAAAGAAAAGGAAACAAAAGAAUACAUGGAGAUAAAAAAAAAAAGGGUAGAAAUAAUACAAACUUACAGAAAAACAAACAGUAAGAAAUUGCUGGUUGAUAAGUUACACAUUGUCAUCUUAGAAAUAGCUGUUCAUGUUAUAGAAUUAAAGUAUUUAGAAUGACAUUCAUAAAGUGACACUACAAACCGUCCUGCUCUAUGAUCAAACAAGAGCUCAGUAAUAUGGUUAUCAGUCCUACACAUUUGUUUUACAUCUCAAAGAGGGUAAGAUUAAACAUAUCAAAACAGAACAAAGCAGUUAAAAAAACAAUUACUGCUUUUUUUUUUCACUGGCAAAAAAUAAAUAAAAAAAUUAAUUCUAACAACAAAAAAAAGAACCAAGGAUGUAGCUCAGUGGUAGAGAUUUUGCUAAGCAUAAACUUGACGCUGGGUUUUAUCCUCACUAUGAGCAAUGACAAUAAUGAUAAUGAUUCUUUUAGUUUUAUUUAUUUUGAGACAGGGUCUUGCUUUGCUAUUUCAGCUGGCCUUGAACUUACUUCAUAGCACAGGCUGGUCUUGAAUUCACAAGGAUCCUCCUGCCUCAGCCUCCCGAGUUAUUCUUUUAGUUUUAAAAGACAAAAUGAAAAUAUUAUUUUUCAAAUGGCAUCUUUGAUGUAUAACUUUUUUUUUAAGAUAGGAUGUCACUAGCCCAGGGUGGCUCAAAUUCUUGAAUUUGUCAUGAUUCUCCUUCCUCAGCCUCCUGAGUGCUGGGGUUACCGGGUUUACAUCUUAAAUGUUCAUGUUAUUCUUGUAAUGUACAGUCCCAAAAACGUAAGUCUUUAGCAAUAACCUACAUUCUGUCCAGUUAUCUUUGUAAUUUGUGGGAUUUUUUUUGGUCUCUUUUUUUAUCGGUACCAGUGAUCAAACUCACAACCACACACUUGCAAGGCAGGCGCUUAUGUUGCUGAGCCAAUUCCCCAGCCCCAUUUGUAGGAUAUUUCAAGGAGUUGCUUCACUUUGUUGUAUGUGAGAUUAACCAGAAAAAUAUUAAGAUCUGAGACAUGGAGAUUUUACCUUUAGUUUUUUAAGUGCUAAAGCCACCUUUUACAUUGGUUAAUAUAGCAAAAGUAAUUUGGUCUAGGGACUGGGGAUUUAGCUCAGUGGCACAGUGCCUGCCUAGCAAGUGUGAGAUCUGAUUUUGAUUCCCAGUACCCCCCCAAAGGAAAUUCAUUAACAUUAAACAGCAUUUUGGAUAUUAUGUAUAUUCAUAAUACUAGUAUGUGUAAAUAAACCAUGUAAUAAAUUUUAUAUAUGACAUAUAAAUUGAAAUAAAAUCCUCUUGCAGUAGAUCCUUCUUACA